rnacentral:lncRNA from 1 species
AACAAGACAUCAGUAUUUGAUUGGAGGUAAAGUAUCAAUUAUGUACUAAUUAAGUUAAAAAAAAUUCAUCUCGUACUAAUUAAACUUAAAAAAUUUGUCUCGUAAUUUCACAAAUAAUUUAUAUUUAAUACUACUUCAUACGUGUGUCCUAAAGUUUAACAAAGCUAACCAAACAGGGCCUUAAUUGCACCAAGGAAUCAUACAACCCU